AGUGAACGCUGGCGGCAGGCCUAACACAUGCAAGUCGAACGAGAGGCGGACGGGUGAGUAAGGUAGGGGAAACUGACUGAUGGAAGGGGAUAAAUACUGGAAACGGUAGCUAAUACGGCAUACCAUCGGAUGUGCCCAGAUGGGAUUAGCUAGUAGGGGGGGUAAAGGCUCACCUAGGCGACGGUCCCUAGCUGGUCUGAGAGGAUGACCGGCCACCCUGGAACUGAGACACGGUCCAGACUCCUACGGGAGGCAGCAGUGGGGAAUAUUGCACAAUGGUCGCAAGCCUGAUGCAGCCAUGCCGCGUGUAUGAAGAAGGCCUUCGGGUUGUAAAGUACUUUCAGCGGGGAGGCGUUACCCGCAGAAGAAGCACCGGCUAACUCCGUGCCAGCCGCCGCGGUAAUUC
rnacentral:rRNA from 1 species